GGUGGUUAGUUCAGUGGUGAGGUAACUCAAUACUCAAUAAUAAGUUAAGUGAGUAACCUCUUUCUUUACUUAUAAGGUCUUCCUGGAUCUUUUCCUUGCCUUAGCUUUCUUGGGCUAGGAACCAGAUAGAAAGUGGUAGCCUAGCAGUGAGAGUAUGCUUGAAAGCUUUCCUUGCUGACUGUAUUGCCUUUAUAGUCAAAGUAGAUUGAUUCGGCAUAACCAUAAGCG
rnacentral:misc_RNA from 1 species